rnacentral:rRNA from 1 species
GGCUGAGAGGNCGACCGGCCACACUGGGACUGAGACACGGCCCAGACUCCUACGGGAGGCAGCAGUGGGGAAUAUUGCACAAUGGGCGAAAGCCUGAUGCAGCGACGCCGCGUGAGGGAUGACGGCCUUCGGGUUGUAAACCUCUUUCAGCAGGGAAGAAGCGAAAGUGACGGUACCUGCAGAAGAAGCGCCGGCUAACUACGUGCCAGCAGCCGCGGUAAUACGUAGGGCGCAAGCGUUGUCCGGAAUUAUUGGGCGUAAAGAGCUCGUAGGCGGCUUGUCACGUCGGUUGUGAAAGCCCGGGGCUUAACCCCGGGUCUGCAGUCGAUACGGGCAGGCUAGAGUUCGNNGGGGGAGAUCGGAAUUCNUGGUGUNGNGNUGANNUGNGCAGAUAUCAGGAGGAACACCGGUGGCGANGGCGGAUCUCUGNNNCGAUACUGACGCUAANNAGCGAAAGC